UACGGAGGGGGCUAGCGUUAUUCGGAAUUAUUGGGCGUAAAGGGCGUGUAGGCGGCUUCGUAAGUCUUGUGUGAAAGCCCUCGGCUCAACCGAGGAAUUGCACGAGAAACUGCGUGGCUCGAGUCCGGGAGAGGAUAGUGGAAUUCCCAGUGCAGCGGUGAAAUGCGCAGAUAUCAGGAGGAACACCAGUGGCGAAGGCGGUGCUCUGGGCCGGAACUGACGCUGAGGAGCGAAAGCGUGGGGAGCAAACAGG
rnacentral:rRNA from 1 species